AUGUCUAAUUUUCCACGAUCUGCGGCUAUGACCACGAUGGUAGCGCGAAAUGGCGUUAAAUGGCUUAGCGUCCGGGGUCGCUGCAAUUUCAUGGGAACGGCUCAUUUCAGCAGGCUGAAACAGUGGCCCAGGCAAAUGUCAACCCAAAUUUGCUUCGAUAGAUCAACUCGUGAAGAAAACCUUGCUUCGUUCUAUCCGCAUUCCCUUGUCUCCCUCCCAUCCGAAAAGCUUGCCGUGGCUCGGCACAGCCACAGCUGUGCUCGGCUUGGCGGGCCGGCGGCUGCUUCGCUGCAAGCUGAAUGCAGUGACUGGCGAAGCGGCAAGGUGGCGACCAGGGCCCCAGGCAGCAAGCUGCGACCCACAACAAGGGGCCUCUGCACCACGAUGUCGUCUCAGCCGGUUCCAACUCCCAGUCCAUCAGCAGCAGGUAAAGAUAGAACACGUACCUCCAUGGACAACAACAUGGUCCCUGGAGAGAGCGAGGUGGUGUGCGUCGACUUCUGGGCCAACCUGUUCGGCAUGCGGGUUCUGAUCGCGCUGCGCGAGCUAGGCGUGUCGUUCGAGUACAUCGAGGAGGACCUCCGCGUCCGCGAGAGGAGCGACCUGGUUCUGCGCACGAACCCGGUGCACCGGAUGGUGCCCAUCCUCAUCCACCGUGGCCGUCCCAUCUGCAACUCCGUCAACAUCCUCGAGUACAUAGACGAGGUCUGGGGUCACCGUCAUGCCGAAGCAGGUGGAACACAGUUGCUUCCUACCGACCCGCUGGAGAGGGCUUCCGCCCGGUUCUGGGCCGAUUUCGUUGACCACAAGGUGUUCAACACGGAGAUGAGGCUGUUCAAGAGCAAAGGUGAUGAUGAGAAAGAAGCCGCAAAGGGGGAGCUAAUCUGCCAACUCAGGCAACUCGAGGGGGCGCUUGGCGACAAGAACUUCUUCUCUGACGAUGAGUUCGGAUUUCUAGACAUCGUCGUCAUCCCGUUAUCGAGCAUGUUUCGAGCGUACGAACAACAGGGAAAGUUUGAUCUUGAGGUGGAGUGUCCCAAGCUGAUGAGGUGGGAGAAGCGGUGCAAGGAGAGGGAGAGCGUCAAGAGUACUCUUCCAGAUGAGGAGGAGGUGUACAGGAUGCACAAGAAGUGGUACGGCAUAGAGUGA
rnacentral:rRNA from 1 species